AUGCCCAUGAAGACAACAAGGAUGAAGAGGGCUCCGUCGGCCCUGAGAUCUCCUGCCGCCACUCCCAGGAGGCGGUCGCCCGCGAGGUCCGCACGCAGGUCGACGCCAUGCACCACAGCUUCUCGUGACGCCACGCCUACCGCGCCUCCAGCAUCCUCGCAGAGCUCGCAAAAACGGAUGGGUCUACAUGGAGGACGAACAAGUUCACAGACUUCUCACCAUUCUCGAUGCCGCACCCAUGUGAUUCACAUCUCUAGGAACGUCAUCUCUUCCAUCGUGUGCCUUGUUCCUGGGCAGAGUUCCUGGACAACGGAGUCUCCCCCUGGACCUGACUUUCGCCAAAUGGCCAACUGCUUGACACCUAAACAAAGGGAUAAAAGUAAGAGGCAUGGGGAUGAUGAUGUCAUGGAUAUUUGGUAA
rnacentral:rRNA from 1 species